AUUGAACGCUGGCGGCAUGCCUUACACAUGCAAGUCGAACGGCAGCACGGGAGCAAUCCUGGUGGCGAGUGGCGAACGGGUGAGUAAUAUAUCGGAACGUGCCCAGUAGUGGGGGAUAACUGCUCGAAAGAGCGGCUAAUACCGCAUACGACCUGAGGGUGAAAGGGGGGGAUCGCAAGACCUCUCGCUAUUGGAGCGGCCGAUAUCAGAUUAGCUAGUUGGUGGGGUAAAGGCCUACCAAGGCAACGAUCUGUAGUUGGUCUGAGAGGACGACCAGCCACACUGGGACUGAAACACGGCCCAGACUCCUACGGGAGGCAGCAGUGGGGAAUUUUGGACAAUGGGCGCAAGCCUGAUCCAGCAAUGCCGCGUGCAGGAAGAAGGCCUUCGGGUUGUAAACUGCUUUUGUCAGGGAAGAAAUCCUCUAGGUUAAUACCCUUGGGGGGAUGACGGUACCUGAAGAAUAAGCACCGGCUAACUACGUGCCAGCAGCCGCCGUAAUAC
rnacentral:rRNA from 1 species